GUUGAAACAUGAACAAUAUAUAUAUAUAUAUAUAUAUAUAUUAGAGAUGUUCAAGAGAUGGGGAAGUUUCACAUGUAGAGGAAUCCUUCAUGUUUUGACCCUAAUAUAAGGAGUGUCUCUAUGCAAAUGUCCUCCCCUGUUAUAUAUUUAAGCAAUGAAAACCAAGAUCUUUUACUUAUUCUGCUUCAACACACACCAUGAGUUCUACAUCCCUACUGCUGCUGCUGCUGGCAGCCAUACACUGUAAGUGUUUUUACAUUUUACAUUUAAUACGGCUUUUGGGCACAUUUUUCUUUUACGGCAUUUAAAUGAUCUUUUCUUUAACAGAUGUUCACUGUGUUGAGCUGAUCCAGCCCGGAUCCACAGUAUUAACCCCUGGACAGUCAGUGACUCUGACCUGUAAAGUGUCUGGAUAUUCAUUAUUCAUUAUUACUGAUAGCAGCUGCUGUACACAGUGGAUACAACAACCUGCAGGAAAAGCUCUGGAGUGGGUCGGAUGGAUAUGUAGUAGUGGUGGCACUGGCUACAGUGAGAAACUGAAAAGCAGGUUUCAGAUUUCCAGAGACUUGUCCAGCAGCACAGUAACACUAACAGGACAGAACAUGCAGACUGAAAACACAGCUGUGUAUUACUGCGCUCGUUACCCAAAGUGAGACAGAACAACAACAUCCCUGUACAAAAACACCUCAUACAAAGUCCUAUUAGUCCACAAGUGCAACAGUUAACUAUCAAAGUCUAACCAUAAAAUAUAAUCAGACAAAUCACAGCAAAGAGUUUAAAGUUAUUUUUAAAUGUUUAUAAUGUAGAUUUUAAAACAUAUUUCUAACAUAGUAAUGUUACAUCUCUAACAUUUCUGUGCAUUAUACAAACUAUUAUAAUCACAUCACUUACAAGAACUUGUUAUACUGUAGUAUUUUUACCUAACAAUAAUCACCUCAACAAAUUAGAAUUUGUGUGAUCAUGUGUGAGAAAGUGUGAGAAUAUUUUGUCAUGAUUUUUAAGAGAGGUAUAAUUUUUCAGUGAUUACGAGCCCAAUAUCCACAAGCAUGGAUAACAGUGAUCAUGCUAUAUUUCAAUCACUUCGAUAUUUUAUUUACAAUUAUAGUAUUUGAUAAAAAAGGCAUAUGUUCCAAUACAAAUCCACAUAUCCUCCAUAAGAUAAAUCUCUUCAUCAUGAUUUAAAUAUCUUUAAAUAUUCCUCCCAUCAUCAUCAGAUAUGCAAAUUCAAGCGUCAGGGUUGGAUAUCACUCUAUUUAUAUGAUGUGAUGGACUCUGAUAAACUUUGGAGAACAGAGAAGUUCCCAGUACAAACAACACACAUCAUGUUCUCUACAUCUCUACUGCUCCUGCUGGCAGCUGCUUCCUAUGUGCAUGGUGAGGAACUGACUCAGCCUGCUUCCAUGACAGUCCAACCAGGCCAGAGUCUCUCCAUCAACUGCAAGGUUUCGUAUUCAGUUACCAGCGACCAUACAGCUUGGAUCCGACAACCUGCAGGAAAAGCUAUGCAGUGGAUUGGAUACAUUCACAGCAGUGGGAGUACAUAUUACAAUGACAAACUGAAAAAUAAGUUCAGCAUCUCCAGAGACACUGCUACUAACACAAUAACAAUUGGAGGACAGAAUCUGCAAACUGAAGACACAGCUGUGUAUUACUGUGCAAGUGGCACAGUGACACAGAAUAGUGGAUUCCCCUUACAAAAACUUUGAGACAUGUUAGAGACAUCAUCUCAAUGUUACUAAUAAACCAUCUCAGUCAAACUUUUACUUUCUUCCACUGGAAUUAAGUUGUAAUUGCUUGACAUUUUUAAACACACAGUAGACAUUUUUAAAAUAAAACAUACAUUCUUCAAAGACUGUUGAUUUGAACCAUUAUUAAUCUCUACAUUGUAUGGAAUAUUUAAUAAACAACUGGAAUAAAUGUUUAAUCAGUGAACUAGAAUGUCAGGAAUAAUACAAUUUAUACAUUUUUAAAUCAAAUAAACAUUCUGCAAAAAGA